rnacentral:rRNA from 1 species
AGAGUUUGAUCAUGGCUCAGAACGUACGCUGGCGGCACGCCUUAUACAUGCAAGUCGAACGAGGUAGCAAUACUUAGUGGCAGACGGGUGAGUAACAUGUGGGUAUCUUCCCUUUGGUGAGGAAUAACACGAGGAAACUUGUGCUAAUAUCUCAUAAGUCUUUACGGAGAAAGCUUUACGCGCCAAAGGAUGAGCCUGCACUUGAUUAGUUUGUUGGUGGGGUAAUGGCCUACCAAGACUUUGAUCAAUAGCUGAUCUGAGAGGAUGAUCAGCCACAUUGGGACUGAGACACGGCCCAAACUCCUACGGGAGGCAGCAGUAGGGAAUAUUGCACAAUGGAGGAAACUCUGAUGCAGCGAUGCCGCGUGAGUGAAGAAGGCCUUUGGGUUGUAAAGCUCUUUCGUCGGGGAAGAAAAUGACUGUACCCGAAUAAGAAGGUCCGGCUAACUUCGUGCCAGCAGCCGCGGUAAUACGAAGGGACCUAGCGUAGUUCGGAAUUACUGGGCUUAAAGAGUUCGUAGGUGGUUAAAAAAGUUGGUGGUGAAAUCCCAGAGCUUAACUCUGGAACUGCCAUCAAAACUUUUUAGCUAGAGUAUGAUAGAGGGAAGCAGAAUUUCUAGUGUAGAGGUG